rnacentral:lncRNA from 1 species
CUUGUUUUUGAAAAGUAUUAUGCCUGAGAUAGUUCAUAAAGAGUAUAAUGAAACAAAAAAAAGUAUUUUUUGAUGGCAGUUCAAAUGCCCCUCAUAGUCAGUACAAAGUGAUCUGGAAGAAAACCAAAAAACAAAUUCUGUAAAUCAUGCAUCUUUGUAAAAAGAGUGAUGGUUUCUCUGUUGCCUUGCAUUAUAUUUCAAAUUUUGGUGGAGCUACAUUAAUGGAUCAGAAGCUAUCGCAACCUUGGGCAAACCACUUAAAUUUGGGGGGCUUAGUUUCUUCUAAAUGAGGGGCGAAUACUUGUUCUAUGUACUUCAUAGUGUUGUUGAAAUGAAGCUGAAAGCAUUUGUAAACUGCAAAAUGCUAUAGCAAUGCUGGUGGCAUAUAUUAGUUCAUAUCAGUUUAGAAGAAAAUUGUUCAAUUGUUAAGUCUAUUCCUAUCUUAGCUACCAUAUUAGAUAAUACUACUUUACAUCAGGGGUAACAUGCUGGUGAGGUGAAAAUACUCCAAGAUUAAUUAAACAACAAAGUCCUUGAAACAUAUGUACAAAUUAAAAAUAUAUAUAUAAUGACUAUUAAGAAUGUAAUAGGAUGUCUGUGAAAAUUGUGAUUUACCAUUACAUUUCAAAUUUCUGAAGUCUAUGUAAACAAAAUUAUUUGAUCACAUUUUCCUCUGAAGUGGCCAAACUAUCAAAAGACCGUCUGAUAGAACUUUGUGAACCACCAAUGUUUGUGGACCAUAUUUGGAGGAAGAGAGCCCCAUAUCAAUGGACUGGGAUCUGUCCCCACCAUGGGCAUACACUGGAAAGGCCUCCUGACUGCCAUGAUUGUCAACUGGGUAACAAGGCUCUUCCCAGCCUGCCAGUCUAUCAUAUGGCAACUCCAAUGCUUCUGGUAACCCCUGGUUCAUCCUCUCUCCUUUAAGCAGGGUUGGAUGUCUUGAAUUGGCAGUAUAUAUUGUUAAUGAUCAUUCUAUGGGUGGAAAAAAUGAGAUGAAAGUCAAAGAUUUUCCCAAGGUCACAAAGCAAGCAUGAUUACCAUCUAAAUUUAACUUGAUUUUUAUACUUGGGUAUGGGAUGAUGUGUGUCGGGGGAAUGAACAGUUUUUCAUUUGUAAAUUCACAAAAAGUUCACUUUAUUGUAUACAUUCUUACUGUCUUGUUUUUUGAUUUAACUGUGGCUUUUACCAUAUGACACUGAAACUAGACAUCCGAGUCCAACUUAUCAUGUUUUAACCUCAUACAAAACUUCAAAAAAACGGUGGAAUGGAAACCCCCCAUUAGCAUGGUCUGAGGUUGAGAGUGAAAGGAAGAGUAAAGAGACCAUGAGUGAACAAGAGUGAGUGAACAGGAAUCAUCUGACAGACGGCUCCACCUCAGGGGAACUAGACAAGUGUUGACUCACUGACCUUCUUCUUGUCUGCUGACACCAUUAGCCUGCUGAGUUGUGAGUGUGCUAUGUUAAAUGACCUGGAUCCUUAAUAUGAAACAGUUCAUUUCAAUUGUUGCUUCUUUAGUUGUGUGUGGGAGGUACGUUGUCAUAAGCACAUAAGAACAACGGGGUAAAUGUUGAGGGGGAAGCUUCUGGAAGUAGAAACAUUCUGAUUCAAGAGUGCAGUUAAAAUGUUGUGGCAAUCUUACUUAGGAAAAAGGAAACCUGAGAAGAAUUACGCAAGUGAAAGGCUUCUUUGUUCCAGUUCCAAAUAUUUAUUGACAUCCAAGCCAGGUUGGAUGAUGCCCACUCACACUGGGGAGGACGAUCUGCUCUAGUGAGUCCACCGAUUCCAGUGCUAAUCUCCUCUGGCAACACCCUCACAGACACACCCAGAAAUGAUGUGUAAGCACAUAUCUGGGCAUCCUGUGAUCCCAUCAAGUUGACACACAAAGUUGACCAUCACAUCUCACUCAGCCUAGUCCUUGCCAAGUCCAUUCCCAGUAUACUCUAUCUCUGACCCCACUGCCCCUGGCUCUGCCCAAACAACCUACCUGGCUUCUUGUGACCUAGAGCAGGUGUUUCAAGCCUUUUCACGUCAAGGGACAUAGAGAAAAUGAAACAUUUUAUUACACCCAAGUGUUAACUGGAGGGAAUUGGGGUGUAUGCAUGGUGUCUAGUGAAAAAAAUAAUUGCUUUUCCUUUAAAUAAUUAUAACAAGAAAAUAAAAUGCUAGAUAUUUGGGAAGAUAUGAAAUUAUUAAUUUGGAUGAAACUUCCAAAUAAUGCUUCUUCAAUUUAUUUCACUUAUUGAUGUAUAACAUAUUCAAUAAAAUGUAAAGGUAGAUGUGAUGAAUGUUGCAUGUACACAUACACACAACCCUGUAAUCACCUCCCAAGUAGAGAUAUGGAACAUUGCGGUACCUCAAGAGUUUCCCUUUUGCCCUUCUUCUAGCUCAUAACCCUUAAGGGUCAAACACAAUUUUGACUUGUAUCUUCAUAGUUCAGUUUUAUUUAUAUUUGAAUGUCAUGUACCUGGAAUCAUAGAAUAUGUACUCUGUAACUGAUUUCUUUCAUUCGACAUCACGUCUAUGUGGUUAAUGAAUGAAAUGUAUUGGAGUCCACUUUUUAGUUGCUGUGUAAUACUCCGUUGAUGAACAUAACACAAUUCAUUUAUCCAUUCUGCUAUUGAUAACAUAAUGGUUGUGUCUAGUUUUUGGCUAUUGUAAGUAAAGCUGCUGUGAAUAUUCUUGAACAUUUCUUGGUGGACAUAAGAUCUCAUUUCUUUGAGAUAUACCCAGGAGGGAAUUAGACUCCUUUUGUUUGUUUGUUGGCUUGUUCUAUCAGUUGCUAAGAGCGAUAGUUAAAAUCUCCAACUUUGAGGAUUUAUCUCUCCCAGUAGUCUGUCACUUUUUGCUUUACAUAAUUUGAAGCUGAGAUAUUAACUGCAUACAAAUUUAAGAUUAAAAAAAUCUUUUUAUUGGAAUUAGUAUUUUCUUAAUAUGAAAGUUCCCUCUUUAUCC